GCGGUAAUUCAAGCUCCAAUAGCGUAUAUGUAAAUUGUUGCGGUUGAAAAGCUCGUAGUUGGACUUCUGGCGACUGCGUUCGGUCCGCCAAGCGCGUGCACUGUCCGCGGUCGUCGUUUCUGUCGACGUGGCGCGUCGGCCUUAGUUGGUCGGUGCGUCGUCUGUCGGCGAUGUUACUUUGAGGAAAUCAGAGUGCUCAAGGCAAGCGUUCGCUCGUGACUUCACUAGCAUGGAAUAACACAGAUGGGCUCUUUCUCGCACUGUUGGUCUGCGUCAAUUGAGCAACGAUCGAUAGAGACGGUCGGGGGCAUUCGUAUUGCGCAGUUAGAGGUGAAAUUCUCCGAUCUGCGCAAGACGUACUAAUGCGAAAGCAGUUGCCAAGGACGUCCUCUUAUGAUCAAGAGCGAAAGUCGGGGGAUCAAAGAUGAUUAGAUACCGUCGUAGUCCCGACCAUAAAUGAUGCCGACUGAGCUUCGGCGACUCGACCUCAGGUCGUACGUCGGCGCUCUUAGAGAAAUUAAAGUCUUUGGGCUCCGGGGGUAGUAUGGUCGCAAGUCUGAAACUUGAAGGAAUUGACGGAAGGGCACCACAAGGCGUGGAUGUUGCGGCUUAAUUUGACUCAACACGGGAAAGCUUACUAGGUUUGGACACCUUUGUGAUGGACAGAUUGAAGCUCUUACCCUACUGCGUGGAUGGUGGUGCAUGGUCGUUCUCAGCCCGUGGGUUGACCUGUCAGGUUUACUCCGGUAACGCGCGAGACCUCGGUCUGCUAAAUAGACGCGGCUGUUUCGGCACCCGCGCUCUUCUUAGAGAGAGACUCGACGAGAGUCGAGGGAAGUCGAGGCAAUAACAGAUCUGUGAUGCCCUUAGUUAUCCUAGGUCGCACGCGCCAUACAAUGUGGCGCACAACGAGUCUCCUUGGCCGACAGGAUCUGGGCAAUCUGGCAGAGCGCUACGUGACUGGGCUAGACUUUUGUAAUUUUUGGUCUUGAACGAGGAAUGCCUAGUAAUCGCAGGUCAGCAUCCUGCGAUGAUUCGGUCCCUGCCCUUUGUACACACCGCCCGUCGCUCCAUCCGUGGCAUGCGCCGGUGAAGAGGGGGAGGCAGCGUCGGCCGGGUAACACCGGAUCGUACGUGGAACCCCUCUGAACCUUCGCACGUAGAGGAAGGAGAAGUCGUAACAAGGUUUUCGUAGGUGAACCUGCGAAAGGAUCAUUAUCGGCAC
rnacentral:rRNA from 1 species